AACGCUGGCGGCGUGCUUAACACAUGCAAGUCGAACGGAAAGGCCCUGCUUCGGGGGUACUCGAGUGGCGAACGGGUGAGUAACACGUGGGUGAUCUGCCCUGCACUUCGGGAUAAGCUUGGGAAACUGGGUCUAAUACCGGAUAGGACCCCUCUUUAGUGUGUUGGGUGGAAAGUUUUUUCGGUGUAGGAUGAGCUCGCGGCCUAUCAGCUUGUUGGUGGGGUAAUGGCCUACCAAGGCGGCGACGGGUAGCCGGCCUGAGAGGGUGUACGGCCACAUUGGGACUGAGAUACGGCCCAGACUCCUACGGGAGGCAGCAGUGGGGAAUAUUGCACAAUGGGCGCAAGCCUGAUGCAGCGACGCCGCGUGGGGGAUGAAGGCCUUCGGGUUGUAAACUCCUUUCGCUAGGGACGAAGCUUUUUGUGACGGUACCUAGAUAAGAAGCACCGGCUAACUACGUGCCAGCAGCCGCGGUAAUACGUAGGGUGCGAGCGUUGUCCGGAAUUACUGGGCGUAAAGGGCUCGUAGGUGGUUUGUCGCGUCGUCUGUGAAAUUCUGGGGCUUAACUCCGGGCGUGCAGGCGAUACGGGCAUAACUUGAGUGCUGUAGGGGUAACUGGAAUUCCUGGUGUAGCGGUGGAAUGCGCAGAUAUCAGGAGGAACACCGGUGG
rnacentral:rRNA from 1 species